GAUGAACGCUAGCGACAGGCUUAACACACGCAAGUCGAGGGGCAUCACGGGAGUAGCAAUACAACUGGUGGCGACCGGCGCACGGGUGAGUACCGCGUAUGCAACCUACCUAUCAGAGGGGAAUAACCCGGCGAAAGUCGGACUAAUACCGCAUAAAACAGGGGCACCGCAUGGUGAUAUUUGUUAAAGAAAUUCGCUGAUAGAUGGGCAUGCGUUCCAUUAGGUAGUUGGUGAGGUAACGGCUCACCAAGCCGACGAUGGAUAGGGGAACUGAGAGGUUGGUCCCCCACACUGGUACUGAGACACGGACCAGACUCCUACGGGAGGCAGCAGUGAGGAAUAUUGGUCAAUGGGCGGGAGCCUGAACCAGCCAAGUCGCGUGAAGGAAGAAGGAUCUAUGGUUCGUAAACUUCUUUUGCAGGGGAAUAAAAUGCAGGACGUGUCCUGUUUUGUAUGUACCCUGAGAAUAAGGAUCGGCUAACUCCGUGCCAGCCGCCGCAGUAAUAC
rnacentral:rRNA from 1 species